UACGUAGGGUGCGAGCGUUGUCCGGAAUUAUUGGGCGUAAAGAGCUCGUAGGCGGUGUGUCGCGUCGGUCGUGAAAACUCGGAGCUUAACUCCGAGCCUGCUUCCGAUACGGGCAGACUAGAGGUAGGCAGGGGAGAGCGGAACUCCUGGUGUAGCGGUGGAAUGCGCAGAUAUCAGGAAGAACACCGGUGGCGAAGGCGGGUCUCUGGGGCCGAUACUGACGCUGAGGAGCGAAAGCGUGGGGAGCGAACAGG
rnacentral:rRNA from 1 species